GACGAACGCUGGCGGCGUGCCUAAUACAUGCAGGUCGAACGCUUCUUUCCUCCCGAGUGCUUGCACUCAAUUGGAAAGAGGAGUGGCGGACGGGUGAGUAACACGUGGGUAACCUACCCAUCAGAGGGGGAUAACACUUGGAAACAGAUGCUAAUAUCGCAUAACAGUUUAUGCCGCAUGGCAUAAGAGUGAAAGGCGCUUUCGGGUGUCGCUGAUGGAUGGACCCGCGGUGCAUUAGCUAGUUGGUGAGGUAACGGCUCACCAAGGCCACGAUGCAUAGCCGACCUGAGAGGGUGAUCGGCCACACUGGGACUGAGACACGGCCCAGACUCCUACGGGAGGCAGCAGUAGGGAAUCUUCGGCAAUGGACGAAAGUCUGACCGAGCAACGCCGCGUGAGUGAAGAAGGUUUUCGGAUCGUAAAACUCUGUUGUUAGAGAAGAACAAGGACGUUAGUAACUGAACGUCCCCUGACGGUAUCUAACCAGAAAGCCACGGCUAACUACGUG
rnacentral:rRNA from 1 species